GAUGGGGUUUCACCAGGUUGGCCAGGCUGGUCUCCUGACAACAGGUGAUCCACCUGCCUCAGCCUCCCAAAGUGCUAGGAUUACAGGCAUGAGCCACUGUGCCUGGCCAGUAUAAAACACUUUGUCCAUGUUGUCAUUGUGUCCUAGCCUAUGUCAUCCAACCUAUAUGUACUGCCAGUUUGUUCUUCUAGGAAACUCAGACUUGGUAGUUGAUUGGUUUAACAAAUGUUGGUUAAACUGGGAUUAUUUGGGAAAAAAAAAUUGUGUAUAUCAGGAAAGGCUGGAUUACCCCCAGAUUGCAGUGGCUUGAAACAGCCAAGGUGGAUUUUGUCACUCGUGCUGUAUUGAGUGUCAGCUUGGAGCCCGUGCGGACAGAUCAUGAAGGUUGCCAAUCGACAUAGUAAAGGCAGAGAGGUCUGGUCUCUCAUUAGCAAUUAUGUGCUCUAGCUGAAUUCACAUGUGUCACUUCUGCUCAUAUCUCAUUGGCCAGAUGUAAUCACAUGGCCUCACACCUUAUUGGCCAAAAUUAAUCACAUGGCCCCACUCAAGCUAAAUGGGGUCAAAUGCUGGCCAAGUGUGGAGCUAGAAAUAUAUGGCAAAUAGCACUAACGGCCAUCUUAACACUUUAAACAUCUUAUUUUAAGCAAGAACAUUUAAACAGACGUCUCUUGUACGUAGGACCAAGACCCUUUCUUUCAGUAUUGGUCUCCUAGUUAGCACACGACAUUACAUUCUUGUUUUUGAGACAGGGUCUCACUUUGUCACUUGGACUGAAGUGCAGUGGUGUGAACACGGCUCACUACAGCCUCAAUCUCCUGGUCUCAAGAGAUCCUCCCACCUCAGCCUCCUGAGUAGCUGGGACCACAGGUGCAUGCCACCAUGCCUAGCAAAUUAUUGUUGUUUUUGUAGAGGUGGGAGUCUCGCUGUGUUGCCCAGGCUGGUCUCGAGCUCCUGGGCUCAAGCAAUCUUCCCACCUCAGCCUCCCAAUGUGUUGGGAUUACAGGCAUGAGCCACUGCACCCAGUAGAACAUCACAUUCUUGUAUAAGCUCCACCCACAAACCACAAUGAGUCAUGUUUUUUUUUAAGUGGCUUGAGAACCUAAAGACAUUUAUGAAACAAACUGGGGGCUGAGUCUUCCUAGGUUUUUAUAAGCUUUUUCAUUAAAUAAUUUACAGUUGCUUUACUUGUACCUAACUUGGCAGCAUUUUUUUUUUUUUAAGAGAUGGAGUCUUGCUUUGUUGCUCAGGCUGGAGUUGCAGUGAUGCGAUCUCAGCUCACUGCAACCUCUGCCCCCUGGGUCCAAUAGAUUCUCCUGCCUUAGCCUCCAGAGUAGCUGGGACUACAGGCAUACACCACCAUGCCCCGUUAAUUUUUGUAUUUUUAGUGGAGACGGUGUUUCACCAUGUUGGCCAGACUGGUCUUGAACUCCUGACCUGAAGUGAUCUGCCCACCUCGGCUUCCCAAAGUGCAGAAUUACAGGUGUGAGCCACCAUGCCUGGCAUGUUUUUCUUUUAACAACUCCCUUUUAGUCUUUCCAAAGCAAGCCAUCUGGUUUGUGUAUAAACAACUCUCUUGCAUUAAUUUCAUUAGUUUGAUAGUAAAUUAAACAAGAACUUCUGGCAUAAACAGGUUUGGAUCAAACAGCUACCUUUCAGGAAGUAAACAGCUUGAGAGAUGGAAGUGGAAUUGCUUAGUCAUAAUAGUAGCCUGCUAGCCCCGGCAGCGGGCUUCAUAGAUGAAAAGGAAAGUGUCUUUCAAGUUGGUGGACCGAGUAAGUGAGAUGGUUUCAGAGAGUUUUGUUGCAGUAUUACUGAUAGAUUUCAGCCUACAUUUUCAUUUCACUUUCUGAUAUGAGUUCCUAUUUUGCUCACUCUGGAGUACACCCUGGUAUACUGCUCUCCAUGCUUAUACAAUUCAGGGCAUUCAAACUCACGUGUGUCCUGAUGGGUUCUGAGGGAUGGGAAGGCAUUAACUAGGUAGAGAACAGGAAGGAUGGGAGAGAGAUUUUUUGGGGGGCGGCAGCAGGGGCCACAGUACCAAGUUUGGAUUUAAUUCUAAAGGCACUGGGAAGCCAUUGGAUGGUUUUGAUUAGUGUAGUGACAGAGAAGGCAGCAAGAGUUAGGAGGCGUCACCCAGGCAAGAGAUCUUGAUGGUUUGGACCAACAAGAAUGGGGAGAAGUGAGGAUUCCGGGAGAUUAAAGCAGCUCCUGUUUUUUCUCCUUCCUGCUGCCAGGUUGUCCUCAUAUGGGUGAUUGACAGGGCAUUGGAGGUACCUGUUGAUAACUAACUUGCAGUUUGUGUUCAGGGAGCACUGACUCCGUUUGGCCACAAUGCAGGUUGGAUUUGGGGUUUAAGGCUGGGCUCCAGUCAGCCCUCGGGAGCCCCUGGGCAGGAAAACAUGGACAGGCCUACGGGUUCUUCUGCCAUUUUACUGGCCACUCCUCCGUGUCCUUUGCUGGUUGCUUCUCAUUGUCGUGACUGCUAAAGGGAUGAGUGUCCCAGUCUCUUUGUGAGCUCAUCCAGUCUCCAUUCAAACACUGAUGACUCCCGAAUUUCUCUCUCCAGGCUAUGACAUCAAUAUCUAUCUACAUUGUUUAGUCAACAUCCGAAACAGAAGUAGGGACUCUGUCUCUAACCUCCUACAGCUGUGUCUAUUUCUCCUCUCUACCUUCACUGGGCUCCGCCCACACUGGCUCCCUUUUAUUCCUACUUUCAGGAUUUGUCUUUGCUGUUCUGUCCUCUUUGCACACUUUUCCAGCCAUCUGGAAUGGCAGGUUGCUCACAGGUCGUUUUCUUGACUUCCCUUGCUUGCCAUCUUUACCUCGCUAUGGUCAUAUCCCAUCGCCCUGUGGAUGUGCGCUAGUUAACACUUAGCACAGCCUGUGAUUAUGUCUCUCCCCAGUGGACCGUGGGGCCUGUGAGGGACGUGGUCUGAUUCGGUCGUCGCCGAGCACAGAACUGGACAGGGUACUCAUAACAGAUUGUUGUUGUUGUUUUUAAAGAAAAGCUAACAUUUGAGUAGUGACUGCGCCAAGCAGUCAAGCACAGCCCCUCGGGCUUGAUCCCCAUAACCACUCUAGGGUUAGGUAUUACCCACGUUUAAGGAACAAAAAUCGAGGGAAAAAUCUUAUACAACUACUAGUAAGUAGUCAUUCCAUUUUAGCAGAGCGAAUGAGCGAAUCCACGGAAGGCCGGGGAGCGACGUGAGUGGCGAGAAGCUUGGAGUCGCCAGGGACGGCGGGCGGAGCCUGGGCGCGGGGGCUAAUGGGCGGAGCCUCCAGGGACAGCUGGCCCCGCCCAGGCCGCGCGAGGCCCGCUGGGAGUUGGAGUCCCCUGCCCACCUCGCCACGUCACCGACUGCAAACCUUCAGCUCUCUCAGGCUCGGGUGCAAUCCGUACCCUCAGUGGGUUCCCUUUCAGUGGGUUCCUUUGUCCCCAGGCCCAUUAUUCCGUCCUCCCCUCUUCCCUGAUGUAUUUUGGCGCGGUCUCCUGGCUCUGCGGGCCCAGGGCUCCGGAUGAGGUCUCCCGCCGUCCCGACCCCCGCAAGGGGCCAGCUUGGUGUCGCCUUCGUUCUUCUGCCACCCCGUUUGGUAGGGGCUCCCGUUCCCGCCACGCCCCCUGAAGUUGUGGCUCGCGCGUCUUCCCAGGACUCCCCCGCGCCGGAGAGGACCGCCGAGCCCACACUCCGCUCCCGCCCGGGCCCCGCUCCCCCGCGCCGCCUUGGUACGCUCCGGCCACGCCCCCUCGGACGCGCUUGGUACGCGCCGGGCUCCCCCGCUCGCCUCAGUGGUUCGGCCGCAGCGACCCCACUCCGGCGGCGCGUCCCCCGAGCUUGGUACGGCUCAGCCCGUCUCCCCCGAAGCCGCGCGCCCGCGCCCCUCAGUCGGUGGAGCCCGCAGCCCCCCUUGUGGCCCGCGGCAGCUCCCCGCCCGCUCGGCCCGCGCCCGCCAUGGUCCGUCCGCGCCGUGCCCCGUACCGCUCCGGCGCCGGGGGCCCCCUCGGGGGUCGCGGCCGCCCUCCGCGGCCCCUCGUGGUGCGCGCCGUCCGCUCGCGCUCCUGGCCUGCCAGCCCCCGAGGCCCGCAGCCUCCGCGGAUCCGGGCCCGCUCGGCCCCUCCCAUGGAAGGUGCUCGGGUCUUCGGGGCACUGGGUCCCAUCGGUCCCUCCUCACCUGGGCUCACCCUCGGGGGUCUGGCCGUGAGCGAGCACCGGCUCAGCAACAAGCUGCUGGCUUGGAGCGGCGUCCUCGAGUGGCAGGAGAAGCGCAGACCCUACUCUGACUCCACUGCAAAGCUGAAGCGGACCCUGCCCUGCCAAGCCUACGUGAACCAAGGCGAGAACCUGGAGACCGACCAGUGGCCGCAGAAGCUGAUCAUGCAGCUGAUCCCGCAGCAGCUGCUGACCACCCUGGGCCCCCUGUUCCGGAACUCCCAGUUGGCACAGUUCCACUUCACCAACAGAGACUGCGACUCGCUCAAGGGGCUCUGCCGCAUCAUGGGCAACGGCUUCGCGGGCUGCAUGCUGUUCCCCCACAUCUCCCCCUGUGAGGUGCGCGUGCUCAUGCUCCUGUACUCGUCCAAGAAGAAGAUCUUCAUGGGCCUCAUCCCCUACGACCAGAGCGGCUUUGUCAGUGCCAUCCGGCAGGUCAUCACCACCCGCAAGCAGGCAGUGGGACCUGGUGGUGUCAACUCAGGCCCAGUCCAGAUCGUCAACAACAAGUUUCUGGCAUGGAGUGGCGUCAUGGAGUGGCAGGAGCCCAGGCCUGAGCCCAACAGUCGGUCCAAGAGAUGGCUGCCAUCCCACGUCUACGUGAACCAGGGGGAGAUCCUGAGGACCGAGCAGUGGCCAAGGAAGCUGUACAUGCAGCUCAUCCCGCAGCAGCUGCUGACCACCCUAGUGCCGCUGUUCCGGAACUCGCGCCUGGUCCAGUUCCACUUCACCAAGGACCUGGAGACACUGAAGAGCCUGUGCCGGAUCAUGGACAAUGGCUUCGCCGGCUGCGUGCACUUUUCCUACAAAGCAUCGUGUGAGAUCCGCGUGCUUAUGCUCCUGUACUCUUCGGAGAAGAAAAUCUUCAUUGGCCUCAUCCCCCAUGACCAGGGCAACUUUGUCAACGGCAUCCGGCGUGUCAUUGCCAACCAGCAGCAGGUCCUGCAGCGGAACCUGGAGCAGGAGCAGCAGCAACGAGGGAUGGGGGGGUAGUGGUUACCCCGGGCUGGGCCCCUCCAGGAGUCACAGAUGAGGCCCCCGCAGAGACUGAGGCCAUCCCUGCCCACCACGGGUGAAAUGGGUGAAACGAUGCCUGCUUUCUCCAGCUCCGUCCCUCCUGCUGUUUUACACGCCAGUCUGCCCAUCCGCCUAGAGUUACCGCCCUCGCCGUGCAGGCCCUGCUGGAGCAGGCCGUCCCGCUCACUGAUACCUUCAGCUCAAGAAUGCGCUAAACUUCAGAACAAAUGCACACACAAACGAAUGAACGAAGGAAUGAACAGCUUCCCUACUACUCUGAUGUAGAAAGUCUGAGAGCACUGGUCUCGUAAACCAACACCUAAGAUGUCACAGCAAAAAACAGAAGGAGGGAGCGAGAGAGGACAGAGGAGUAAGGAGGCCCCGACCGGAGGCCGGGGAGCCCAGGAGUGAGGGGCUGGAGUGAGGAAAAGGAGGGGGACCAGGCAGGCUGCGAGACUCACCUGCUCCUGCAGAUGGUCCCACAUGCCCGUCACCGGCUUCCGGUAUAAGCCUGCGUGCGUGGCCACCAGCACCUGUGGAUGGGAGGGGGCCACCAGCUUUAGCUCCCCCUCAAGCACCUACUGGAUGCCACCCCAGCCCAGAAUUUGUAGCUGAUGAUGAGUUCCUAUCAGCAUCACACUGCCUGAGGCCUCCGCCCCGCUUACCCUGGAGUCUAAAGCCCUCGCUCUGGAUCUCUGUGCCCCCACAUAGCUCCCAGCCUCCCUUCCAGCCAUACCUGGAAGGGGACCCCCAGCUUCUCCACCACAGCCUCCACCUUGGCCUUGAACUCCUUGGCUGGCAGCUUCCCGCGCCCGAUGCUCAUCUGGUUGGUGAAGAUCACCAGCUGGGGAGCAAAGGGUGUCACCAGGCGCCCUGCUCACCAGGGCCUUGGUCUGACCUGCGGUCGGACCGCCACGUGCACGUGCCCAUGCAGACAGGCGGCUGCACAUACCUUGUAGCCCUCGGCUUCCAGCUCUCGGAGCUUACGGGGAAUCUCUGGGUACAAGAUCCUACGGCAGGUAUGAAGCGGCAGGGGUGACCCGGGGCCAGAGGUGGACUCCAGGCCUCACUCACUCCCUUGUUUUGCCUCUUAUCACCUCCAGUCACUGGGGCCAGUGGGAAAGACCUUCCCAGAGCGUGUGGUGAUGAGGGUCCCGUCCAGAUCAAAGCCAGCCACCUGGUGUCACCAAGGAAAGACAAAUAGCACUGUGAUACCUCUGACCCUCCUCACUCACAGGGUGACUCACACCAACCCUGCCAGGCAGGGUGUUAUCACUGCCAUCUCACAGAUGGGGAAACCGAGUCACAGAGCACCUCCAUCUCAAGCAUCCGUGAUGCCCCUGAGUGCGGCCCGACAUCUUAACCUUACUGUCUCCUGUUACUCCUUAUGACCCCAGCCCCAGGAUUACAGUCUUUAAAAUGGGGGUUAAUGUCUUACCCAGCCUUCUUCCUCCCCUGGCCUUCACCACCUCAGUGGGCUAAUAACCGUGAAAAUAAAAGCAGGAGCAAAGCUUUGGGUGCUAA